AGGAAAUAAAAAGGGGUGGAAGAUUGCAGAAGAACCAUGGGGUUGAUGAUGGUGGUAUCCCCUUUGAGAUGCUCAGCCAGCAAGUGUCUCAGAAGGGCAAGGACAAGAGCAUCGGCGAACAAUAUCUUGGAAAAAAGGAAUCUCUCACUACUAUCUACAGUGAGGUCUGUUAUCCAGACCAGACCAUGGAGAUCAUUUGAUUGGAGGAAGCAGGAGGAUCUGGCACUCCCAGGACACCUUCACUCUGAGCCUAAGUCCUGAAGACCCUUGCCUUUCCCAGCUCUGGUUCAGUUCCAGCUUCCCCUUGUGUGUGUUACUCUGACCUCAUAGCUACAUUUCUAGGGGGUACACAUGGCCUGGCUGUACUCCACGACACCUCCCAAGCUGCCCUUAUACUUGGCGAAGGGCUGUUCUCCAUCACUGAGAUGGCUGCUGACCCCUGUCCUUCAUAAGCCUUCCCAAGAGGAGCCUGUCUGACUGAGCAGGUGUCAAGUUCCCACCACCUCUGCCGUGUCACUGGUGUGAGUACUUCUGAGGACACAAGCCCAGACACGGGGACUGU